rnacentral:rRNA from 1 species
CAUGUAGGCGGUUUUGCGCGUUUCGCGUGACAGCGGGUGGCUUAACUACCCGAGGGUGCGAAAGACGGUGAGACUUGAGGGCCAGAGAGGGACACGGAAUUCCGGGUGGAGUGGUGAAAUGCGUAGAGAUCCGGAGGAACACCGAAGGCGAAGGCAGUGUCCUGGCUGGUGACUGACGCUGAGGUGCGAAAGCCAGGGGAGCGAACGGGAUUAGAUACCCCGGUAGUCCUGGCCGUAAACGAUGACCACCAGGUGUGGGAGGUAUCGACCCCUUCCGUGCCGGAGGAACCCACUGAGUGGUCCGCCUGGGGAGUACGGUCGCAAGAUUAAA